rnacentral:rRNA from 1 species
UACCGAGGGUGCUAGCGUUGUUCGGAAUCAUUGGGCGUAAAGGGCGUGUAGGCGGUUUGUUAAGUCAUGUGUGAAAUCCCUCGGCUCAACCGGGGAACGACGCAUGAAACUGGCAAGCUAGAGUACCAAAGAGGGGGGUGGAAUUCCCGGUGUAGCGGUGAAAUGCGUAGAUAUUCGGAAGAACACCAGUGGCGAAGGCGGCUCACUGGACCGGCAUUGACGCUGAGGUGCGAAAGCGUGGGGAGCAAACAGG